CCUACGGGAGGCAGCAGUGAGGAAUAUUGGUCAAUGGACGAGAGUCUGAACCAGCCAAGUAGCGUGAAGGAAGACGGCCCUAUGGGUUGUAAACUGCUGUUAUAGGGGAGUAAAAUGUGACACGUGUGGGAUGUUGUAUGUACCAUACGAAUAAGGAUCGGCUAACUCCGUGCCAGCAGCCGCGGUAAUACGGAGGAGCCGAGCGUUAUCCGGCUUUAUUGGGGUUAAAGGGAGCGUAGGGGGUUUGUUAAGUCAGUGGUGAAAGUUUGCGGCUCAACCGUAAAAUUGCCUUUGAUACUGGCAGUCUUGAGUCCAGUAGCGGUGGGCGGAAUGCGUGGUGUAGCGGUGACAUGCUUAGAUAUCACGCAGAACUCCGAUUGCGAAGGCAGCUCACUGGACUGCAACUGACGCUGAGGCUCGAAAGUGUGGGUAUCAAACAGGAUUAGAUACCCUGGUAGUC
rnacentral:rRNA from 1 species